UAAUGGGUUGGUUAAGUCGGGCAGGUUGAAUUGUAGGUGGAGGUAAGGCAGGGGGGAAGAGCAACACUAGUUUGUUUAUCGGGGUGGCUAUUUACUGGAUCAGACAAUCUCCUCCUAAGCUGUUGGGGUUAUUGUUGUGUACGGACUCGAGCAAUGCAUUGGUGCUUGGCUGAGAUGAGGUCUUCGGCCAACUAGGCAUGUUCU
rnacentral:lncRNA from 1 species